GCAGUUGUGGCCUACUGGUUAGGGCUUCGGGCUUGGAGCCGAAGGGUUGCUGGUUCGAUCUCCGACCAGUGUG
rnacentral:tRNA from 1 species